CGGGCAGGUGAGGUUCGUUAGCCAUGGUAGGCAAUUCACCUAGGAGAGCAAACUCCGAACAAUAAACCCGGGCAGGUUGGGCUCGUGAGCCGUCAUAGGUAAUACACCUAGGAGAGCAAACUCCGAACAAUAAACCCGGGCAGGUGGAGGUCGUUAGCGAAAGCAAUUCAUCUAGGAGAGCAAACUCCGAUUACAAACCCGGGCAGGUGGAGGUCGUUAGCGAAAGCAGUUCACCUAGGAGAGCAAACUCCGAUUACAAACCCGGGCAGGUGAGGUUCGUUAGCCGUGGUAGGCAAUUCACCUAGGAGAGCAAACUCCGAACACUAAACCCGGGCAGGUUGGGCUCGUGAGCCGUCAUAGGCAAUACACCUAGGAGAGCAAACUCCGAACAAUAAACCCGGGCAGGUUGGGCUCGUGAGCCGUCAUAGGUAAUACACCUAGGAGAGCAAACUUCGAACAAUAAACCCGGGCAGGUUGGGCUCGUGAGCCGUCAUAGGUAAUACACCUAGGAGAGCAAACUCCGAUCAUAAAACCCGGGCAGGUGGAGCUCGUCAGCCGUGGUAGGCAGUCUGCCUAGGAGAGCAAACUCCGAACAAUAAACCCGGGCAGGUGGAGCUCGUCAGCCGUGGUAGGCAGUCUGCCUAGGAGAGCAAACUCCGAACAAUAAACCCGGGCAGGUGGAGCUCGUCAGCCGUGGUAGGCAGUCUGCCUAGGAGAGCAAACUCCGAACAAUAAACCCGGGCAGGUGGAGCUCGUCAGCCGUGGUAGGCAGUCUGCCUAGGAGAGCAAACUCCGAACAAUAAACCGGGGCUUGUGGUGCUCGUUAGAUGUCGUAGACAAUCCACGUGAUGGGAACACCAAAGAGAAGGAAAAUAAAAAGGAACAUCUGAAAAAGGAAAAUAUAGUAACAAAACAUCAAGAAAAUAAAAUAAAAAAUACAGAUCAUCCACCUUCAGGCCCUAACAUCUCUAAAAUUAUGGGUGAGUCUUUUCUGGGGAGAAAGAGGCUCAUCCAGACCAAGGAACAUCAAAAAGGGAUGAUAUAGAAAGGAACACCAAAAAAAUGGGAAAAAGAGAACAAAACAUCGCAAAAGAAAAUUAACAGCAAUAACAGAACAACGUCAAGAAAAGUAACAUACAAAGAAACAUCAUCCACCAUUCGGCCCCAAACUAACAUCACCAAAAUUAUGGGUGGGUCUCUUCUGGGAGGAAAGCGGCUCACCCAGACCAACGAAGAACAUCAACAAGAGGAUGAUAUGAAAUAAAAGAACAUUAAAAACACGAAGAAAAGAAAUAAGAAGAAAAAGAACAGAAAAAAAACAUCGGAAAAGAAAAACAAGAAGAAAACACAUCAAGAGAAGAAAAAUAUAAGAAACAUCAUCCACCUUUCGGCCCCUAACUAACAUCACCAAAAUUAUGGGUGGGUCUCUUCUGGGAGGAAAGCGGCUCACCCAGACCAAUGAACAUCAACAAGAGGAUGAUAUGAAAUAAAAGAACAUCAAAAAAGAAAAACAACAGCAAGAAAACAAAGAAAAAGAUAAAGAAAAGAAAAGGAAAAAGAAACAAAAAGAAAAAGAAAAACACCAAAAUAAAAUAAAACAAAAACAAAAAAAUAAUCCAAAUAAAUAAAUAAAUAAACAAAUACAGAA